GCAAAGGCCGGCUGCAUAAUUCCGAUGGCCUGCGGUUGAGGAGUGCCAUACUUCUGCUAUGUGAAGGUGAUUAUUAUUAUUAUUAUUAACGCGAGCAGGUUCAGAUUCAGCUGUACGGAUGCGCGGUGUUUAAACCGUGGGAUGGUUUGAUAUUAGGAGAGUGCAAGGUAAAGAAAGGUACAGUACUAUGAUUGUUUUAGAGCCCUUUCUUUACACACUUCCCUCCCACUCUCAAUUUACCUGCCGCCGUCUCCUUGGAGUUUAUUUAGAGAAGAUAUCUCAACGAAUCCCUGGUGGCAUUGAAAGGAACCCCAAUGAAUUCAUGUAUAAAGCAGAAUAGCUCCCCGCCCCCCGAGUUUUAGCUUUUCUCUAACCCGCUCAUAAAGUAUGCCAGAGCUCAUCAUCUAACAGGCCGGCCGGCCCAUUUUGCCCCACUCAAGGUCCGUAGCUGCUGCUGCUGCUGCUGCUGCUGGUUAGCCCGCCAACCGCUUGAAAGAUCAAGUCACCGCGAUGUCACAAAUUCAGUCCAUGCCCCGGCAGAAGUGGAAAAUCACGCGCAGUUUUGGCGGCGGUGGGUGAGCGCAAAUAACAAGUACAAUUCUUGCGCCAUUAUAUUCCCAAUUGGUUGCAUUGGCUGGGAGUGGCUGGAGUGAGGGACAAACCGGUGGACGGGGUAGCCUUCCUGCGACUUCAGAAACCCCAUCUGCUCACUUUCCCCGGGCAGUGUAAUCAACAUCCGUAUGGCAACCGGUUUGGGAUAUGAUCCCGUAUUAAAAUUGAGGUUGUCAGAGAAAUGAGAGUGAAUUAACGGCUUGCGCUCUGUCCCCUUGACCUCAAAAGUGAAGUCCCGGGCAUCUAAUUUUUAUUUAUUUAACUCUUCAUCAUCAUAUCUUCCACGAGCCGACAUGCAGGAUACUAGGAAGGACAAAGUUCACGAUGAACAAAGUUGGCCAUGACACUAGUGGUCACUAAAUCCCCCGAUCGCGGAAUCCAGCGCAUAAAUGUAUAAAAGGAUUGGGCCUUGAUAUGUUGUUGUUGUUGUUGUUCUUCAUAUUUUUUCUAAGGCCAUAUGCAGUCUGAGACUAUGACAGCCUUCACCUCACUAGCCUAGCCCUUAUGUUCGGCUACUCUCUAGUUACAUUUCUCUAUUCAUAACUGAGUCAUCCUUGAUGGAGAGACUUCACUAUACCAUUCUGGAUCUAGCCCUCAAGGGGGGCCUUGCCCCACAAUUGCUCAUGCAAUACUAAGCAGUCCCUUGUCACUUGGACUAGACAUGUAAGAAUCACAACACCUUAGGAUCCCACACUAUACUGAAUCCAUCUAGACUAUAUACAUAGUGUUGAACAUUGCUCCACCCUGCAGUGGCAGUUACCAAUAGAAAUGAGAUAAGAAAGGGUACCCCCAAUAUCCACCAAGAUGUGAUAAUAUCCUUUUGGAGAAGGUGGGAUUCGAACCCACUACCUUCUUGUCUCAGCAGUGGUGGCCCCAACACCAAGUGCCUACUUGAGAAAGCAUUCCAUGAACAGCGCUUACCACUACGCCAUCCACCCCCCCGGCCUUGAUAUGACCUGGGCGGUUUGUCCACCAACCCGACAGACUUUCCCCAAAUGCUUUCCAGUGACAUGAGGCAUGGUUGAAUUAUCGGAAUGCAUACAUCCGUACGGAGUACACCCGCAACAGAUGCGGGGUUACAUGAGGUCUCCGUGAAAGUAAACAAUUGUCAGCUUGGGCGGCAGAUAAAACGAACGGCCUGACAUUGCCAUCUUUGAAACCGAAAUAUGGCGUUAUUUAUUCUCGCG
rnacentral:sRNA from 1 species